UAUAGAUGGAUCCGCGCUGCAUUAGCUAGUUGGUAAGGUAACGGCUUACCAAGGCAACGAUGCAUAGCCGACCUGAGAGGGUGAUCGGCCACACUGGAACUGAGACACGGUCCAGACUCCUACGGGAGGCAGCAGUAGGGAAUCUUCCGCAAUGGGCGAAAGCCUGACGGAGCAACGCCGCGUGAGUGAUGAAGGUCUUCGGAUCGUAAAACUCUGUUAUUAGGGAAGAACAUAUGUGUAAGUAACUGUGCACAUCUUGACGGUACCUAAUCAGAAAGCCACGGCUAACUACGUGCCAGCAGCCGCGGUAAUACGUAGGUGGCAAGCGUUAUCCGGAAUUAUUGGGCGUAAAGCGCGCGUAGGCGGUUUUUUAAGUCUGAUGUGAAAGCCCACGGCUCAACCGUGGAGGGUCAUUGGAAACUGGAAAACUUGAGUGCAGAAGAGGAAAGUGGAAUUCCAUGUGUAGCGGUGAAAUGCGCAGAGAUAUGGAGGAACACCAGUGGCGAAGGCGACUUUCUGGUCUGUA
rnacentral:rRNA from 1 species